UCCUCCCGGCAAAGGGCAAAGAGACACCUUGUUAGUGGUGGUUUUCUUAUAUCAGUCGGGGCAGAGCUGAUGGCCGUCCUUUGUUCCUCCAAGCUCGAUGCCUGGCUUGGUGGCCAAAGCUGUUCUAUGCCCAGGACUCACAA